UUUGGUUUUACAAUCAUUUACGUUAUUCAAUGUCUAUAUAAACGUGCAACAAGUUAUAGAAAACACGAUUUCAUUUAUAGCGGACUAACGAAGGGGGUGAGAACAAAUAUGCAUCCACUGUUAACUAAUAAUAAAAUUUAUUCUGAAAAUCGGCAUUCUAAUUAAUAGCAGGAUCAAAUAUUCAUCAAGCUUAACACGUGGAAAAUAUAUUUACCUUUAAUUGUUUAUGUUAAUCAAGAUGUUAAUUUUUGAUAAUGUAAUCGAUUAAUAAAUAAUCUCUGUUUUUUCUGA